GGUAGCGUGGCCGAGUGGUCUAAGGCGCUGGUUUUAGGCACCAGUCUCUCGAGGCGUGGGUUCGAAUCCCACCGCUGCCA
rnacentral:tRNA from 2 species